CACGCGUUGGGAGCUCUCCCAUAUGGUCGACCUGCAGGCGGCCGCGAAUUCACUAGUGAUUAGAGUUUGAUCCUGGGUCAGAAUCAACGCUGGCGGCGUGCCUCAGACAUGCAAGUCGAACGCGAAAGUCCCCUUCGGGGGACAAGUAGAGUGGCGCACGGGUGAGUAACACGUAGGUAAUCUACCUUCGGAUGGGGAAUAACAAUCGGAAACGAUUGCUAAUACCGCAUAAUGCAGCGGCACCUAAUGGUGACAGUUGUUAAAGCGGGGGAUCGAAAGACCUCGCGUCUGAAGAGGAGCCUGCGGCGGAUUAGCUAGUUGGUAAGGUAAUGGCUUACCAAGGCAACGAUCCGUAACCGGCCUGAGAGGGCGGUCGGUCACACUGACACUGGCAUACGGGUCAGACUCCUACGGGAGGCAGCAGUCGGGAAUUUUGGGCAAUGGGCGAAAGCCUGACCCAGCAACGCCGCGUGAAGGAUGAAAUCCCUCGGGAUGUAAACUUCGCAAGAACGGGAAGAAUAAGUAGGGGACAAUCCCCCGUAUGAUGACGGUACCGUUUGUAAGCUCCGGCUAACUCCGUACCAGCAGCCGCGGUAAAAUCGAAUUCCCGCGGCCGCCAUGGCGCCCGCAAGCAUGCGAC
rnacentral:rRNA from 1 species